CGGCAGCCAAUAAAAUGGCGCUUCGAGCAGAGACCGCGGGCUCAGAGGAUCUUUACUGCGGUGUAGUUCACAGAUGUAGUUCACAGGUGUGUCGGCUCUCUAUGUUAGCCUGUCUUCAGUUCUUUUACAAAUAUGAUGUUUCCUUGCUAGGAGAGGAGCAGACAGGUGUGCCGCAGCUGGUACUUCACCACAGAAGAAGAAGAGACAGGAAGUUGCCUUCUUCUAUGGAGUGAAGACAUUUCUUUCUGGGCUUCUGUAUCCUGCUGUGGUCCAUCGUUUGAUCUCCGCCUGCCGCAGCAGCAGCUCAGCUCAGUCGGAGCCCUCCUGGUUCUCCAAGAUCGGAUCUGUGGACAGAGAAACAACUAAAAUGUGUCGGAGUGUGCUGCUGAUGUUGGGAGGAGACACGAUCAGUACGGCGCUUUCAGAUGUUAUCCCAGAAUGCACCACUGGACCUUCUACAGACGGGGAACUCAGCUCCUGAAAAGCACGAAGACUUUAAAAUGUAAUGCAGUGUAAUAAACAACAGCUCUGUGGUUAAGCUUACA